rnacentral:lncRNA from 1 species
GGCUGGGGGCCCCAGGCCACUAGCCCGCCAGACUGCCCCACACCUGCCACCCUCCGAUGGGUCCGCUGCCUUUGUGCCCGCCAAUAGGGUUGUCGCUGCUGCUGCUGCUGCUGCUGCUGCUGCUGCUGCUGCUGCUGCUGCUGCUGUGACCCGGCCUGUUUUUAUUGUUUUUGCUUGCUUGCUUUGUUUUUCAAUCCGUUUCUUGUACUGUGAUUUAAGACUUUGGUUUUCCAUGAAUGUCAGUGAUAGAAUUUAUUAAUGCAAUUUAAUACCAGUUAGCAUAAUGAAAUCAGAAGGUAUUUAAUCAUUGACUUAGUGUUCAACAAAGAGGGGAUGUAAAGCUGCCCGGAGCCUAAGUUUGGGAAACCCUGUGUGCAGCCAUGGAGAUAAACACUCAGACUGGGAAACUGAGGCCCGCAAAGAUCAAGUCCUCGCCAAGAGUUACAUACGUGGACAGAGUCCUGGAACCCCAGCUCCGCUGCAGAGGAGAGGAGGCUGCAGCCCACAACCUCGGGGUCUGGAGUUUUCUGCGAGCUGGGAGGCAGCGUUGCUGGAGAGGUUGGUCACCCUUCCCCAGUGGCUCCGCCCAGACACCAUUCCCCCCAGCACCCUUGGCCCUCGGUCCCCAGAGCUUCCUGGACUGGGGAGGAGGGGACCGGGAGGGAGAAUGUGGACAGCGCCGCCUGCCGGGUUCUUGCCUCUGGGGGAUUCUCGGUCUGUCUCUGCCGCUUUAUCUCCAUUCUCUUCACCGGGUCUCUGCAUCCCUGUCUUUGUCUCCGCGUGCGAGUCUUUGUCGCUCUCUGUGUCUCCGUCUCUCCUUCUGUCUCUUUGUAUGUGUCUCUCUCUCUCCCUACUUUCUCCCUCUUUCUGCCUUUCUCUUUUAGUCUCGCCAUUCUUUGGCUGUCUUUUUGUCUCUUUCUGAGUCUGUCUCUGCCUCUCUCAGUAUCUUUCUGUGCGCCUCUGGUCUCUGCC